GCUGCGCCUAGGGGCGGCCGUCGGUUCGGAAGCCGCAGCGUGGGGGCGCCGUAGGGCGGGCGGCCUUUUUGGGCGGGUCGUACGCUCAGACGCUGACUUCACUCCGAAGCACCAGGAGGGCCCUGAAUUUCGCUCAGAAUGAAAGGACCGCCUUCCUCAACCUUGGUCUGAGCUGGCAGGGCGCGCCAGGCAGCUGCGCGUCUCUAGGUUCUCAACGUUCAUUCCUUCAAAUCAUAUUUCCAGAGAAACUACAAGGAAAUGCAAGCAGUAAUUUACAAGACCAGAUGUCCUAUAUUAUUGCAAUAGAUGAGAAACUGUGUACUGUGCACCUAAAGCCAAGGUAAGUUUUUUUUAGUUGAGAAUUUCAUUUUAUGUCUAUGAAAUUUUUUCCUUGCAAUAAAAUGAUGU
rnacentral:lncRNA from 1 species